AAAUGAUGAUAAUGCGCAUUUGUCGGAAGGCUCACUUCUGACGAUUCCUUUGUCCAUUCCCCUGACCC
rnacentral:snoRNA from 18 species